GAUGAACGCUGGCGGCGUGCCUAAUACAUGCAAGUCGAGCGAACAGAUAAGGAGCUUGCUCCUUUGACGUUAGCGGCGGACGGGUGAGUAACACGUGGGUAACCUACCUAUAAGACUGGGAUAACUUCGGGAAACCGGAGCUAAUACCGGAUAACAUUUGGAACCGCAUGGUUCUAAAGUGAAAGAUGGUUUUGCUAUCACUUAUAGAUGGACCCGCGCCGUAUUAGCUAGUUGGUAAGGUAACGGCUUACCAAGGCGACGAUACGUAGCCGACCUGAGAGGGUGAUCGGCCACACUGGAACUGAGACACGGUCCAGACUCCUACGGGAGGCAGCAGUAGGGAAUCUUCCGCAAUGGGCGAAAGCCUGACGGAGCAACGCCGCGUGAGUGAUGAAGGGUUUCGGCUCGUAAAACUCUGUUAUUAGGGAAGAACAAAUGUGUAAGUAACUGUGCACGUCUUGACGGUACCUAAUCAGAAAGCCACGGCUAACUACGUGCCAGCAGCCGCCGUAA
rnacentral:rRNA from 1 species